rnacentral:rRNA from 1 species
AACGACUCUCGACAACGGAUAUCUCGGCUCUCGCAUCGAUGAAGAACGUAGCGAAAUGCGAUACUUGGUGUGAAUUGCAGAAUCCCGUGAACCAUCGAGUCUUUGAACGCAAGUUGCGCCCGAAGCCACUAGGCCGAGGGCACGCCUGCCUGGGUGUCAUGCA